rnacentral:rRNA from 1 species
GACGUAGGGGGCCAGCGUUGUUCGGAAUUACUGGGUGUAAAGGGUUCGUAGGCGGUGUGGCAAGUCGGGAGUGAAAUCUCUGGGCUCAACUCAGAGACUGCUUCCGAAACUGCUGUGCUGGAGUGUGGGAGAGGCGCGUGGAAUUGCAGGUGUAGCGGUGAAAUGCGUGAGAUAUCUGCAGGAACACCCGUGGCGAAAGCGGCGCGCUGGACCACUACUGACGCUGAGGAACGAAAGCUAAGGGAGCAAACAGG